rnacentral:hammerhead_ribozyme from 1 species
AUACAGCUGACGAGUCCCAAAAUAGAACGAAACGCGCGUCCUGAAU